AACGAACGCUGGCGGCAUGCCUAACACAUGCAAGUCGAACGAGACCUUCCGUUCUAGUGGCCCACGGGUGCGUAACGCGGGGGAACAUGCCCGUAGGUUCGGCAUAACUCUCCGAAAGGGGUGCUAAUAUCGGACAAUGUCUUCGGACCAAGGAUUUAUCGCCUUUGGGUGGUCCCGAGUUGCAUUAGCUGGUUGGUAGGGUACAAGCUUACCACGGCGACGAUCCAUAGCUGGUUUGAGAGGCUGAUCAGCGACACUGGGACUGGGACACGGCCCAGACUCCUACGAGAGGCGGCAGUGAGGGAUAUAGGACAAUGGGCGAAAGGCUGAACCAGCGAUGCCGCGUGAGUGAUGAAGGCCUUGGAGUUGUAAAGCUCUUUUAACUAGGAUGAUAAUGACGGUACCUGGAGAAUAAGCACCGGCUAACUCCGUG
rnacentral:rRNA from 1 species